UACAGAGGGUGCGAGCGUUAAUCGGAAUUACUGGGCGUAAAGGGUUCGUAGGUGGCUUGUUAAGUCAGACGUGAAAUCCCUCGGCUCAACCGGGGAACUGCGUCUGAGACUGAUGAGCUCGAGUGCAGGAGAGGAACGCGGAAUUCCAGGUGUAGCGGUGAAAUGCGUAGAUAUCUGGAGGAACACCGGUGGCGAAGGCGGCGUUCUGGACUGCAACUGACACUGAGGAACGAAAGCCAGGGGAGCAAACGGG
rnacentral:rRNA from 1 species